rnacentral:rRNA from 1 species
GACGAACGCUGGCGGUGUGCUUAACACAUGCAAGUCGAACGGAAAGGCCCUGCUUUUGUGGGGUGCUCGAGUGGCGAACGGGUGAGUAACACGUGAGUAACCUGCCCUUGACUUUGGGAUAACUUCAGGAAACUGGGGCUAAUACCGGAUAGGAGCCCCUGCUGCAUGGUGGGGGUUGGAAAGUUUCGGCGGUUGGGGAUGGACUCGCGGCUUAUCAGCUUGUUGGUGGGGUAGUGGCUUACCAAGGCUUUGACGGGUAGCCGGCCUGAGAGGGUGACCGGCCACAUUGGGACUGAGAUACGGCCCAGACUCCUACGGGAGGCAGCAGUGGGGAAUAUUGCACAAUGGGCGGAAGCCUGAUGCAGCAACGCCGCGUGCGGGAUGACGGCCUUCGGGUUGUAAACCGCUUUCGCCUGUGACGAAGCGUGAGUGACGGUAAUGGGUAAAGAAGCACCGGCUAACUACGUG